rnacentral:rRNA from 1 species
CCUGGCUCAGAUUGAACGCUGGCGGCAGGCCUAACACAUGCAAGUCGAGCGGUAACAGAGAGUUGCUUGCACCUUUGCUGACGAGCGGCGGACGGGUGAGUAAUGCUUGGGAACAUGCCUUGAGGUGGGGGACAACAGUUGGAAACGACUGCUAAUACCGCAUAAUGUCUACGGACCAAAGGGGGCUUCGGCUCUCGCCUUUAGAUUGGCCCAAGUGGGAUUAGCUAGUUGGUGAGGUAAUGGCUCACCAAGGCGACGAUCCCUAGCUGGUUUGAGAGGAUGAUCAGCCACACUGGGACUGAGACACUG